UUAAUGGCUGACACCAGGAAUAUGGCUAGGUCACAAGGGGGGUGAUUAGAUAAGUACCCAACGUAAAGGAAUUUGUGGUGGACUGUGAUAUUAUUCCUGUACAAGGUGUUUACAGUUUUGCAAGGAGUCCUUGUAACAUGGAGAGAGAGUUCUAAUGUUGUUAUCACUGGUUAUAAGAUCUGAGAAGUUAUGGUCAUUGUAGAGGGAAUGUACGGCAGCCCUGCUGGGGAAAUCUCAUAUGGCAUAAAGAAGGUAUUUGAGGAAUCCAUGCUAUUGCAUGGCAGCACACUAAGUCCUGAUCUCAACACAACGGUCAACACAACAGGCAACAUGACGAGUGAUAGUCAGCAGAAGCAGCAGGAUAUGAGGGACUUCUACAUCGGCCUGUCCCUCGCUAUCAGCUCAAGCAUUUUCAUCGGCAGCAGUUUCAUCUUCAAGAAACUUGGCCUGCUCCGUCUCGCCAAACAGCAGUCCACAAGAGCAGGCCAAGGCGGGUAUGGUUACCUCAAAGAAUGGAUGUGGUGGGCAGGCAUGAUCCUCAUGAUUGUUGGGGAAUUUGCCAACUUUGCUGCCUAUGCCUUUGCUCCGGCCACGCUGGUAACUCCUCUGGGAGCCUUAAGUGUACUUAUAAGCGUUGUGCUGGCAUCGCGGGUGUUGAAGGAGCACCUGAACCUGCUGGGGAAGGUCGGGUGUCUGCUAUGUAUCCUCGGCUCCACUGUCAUGGUCAUACACUCCCCCAAGGAGCAGGAGGUCGGCAGCAUGGAGGCACUCAAGACGAAACUCGUCGAACCAAUGUUCAUCGUUUUUGGUAUCCUCGUAAUAGCGGCAGCUAUAAUUGGGAUAUUCUACUUCGUCCCUCGCUACGGCAACAAGAAUCCUCUGGUAUACAUCACCAUCUGUUCCGUCCUGGGGUCUUUCACCGUCAUGGGUUGCAAAGGAGUGGGUGUAGCAAUCAAGGAAACGUUCCGCGGCAGGAACGAGUUCACAAACUACCUGACAUACGUGCUCCUGGCAGUGGUGGUCGUUUGCAUACUUAUCCAGCUCAACUAUCUCAAUCGUGCUCUGGACACUUUCAACACGGCGGUUGUUACGCCGAUCUACUAUGUGUUUUUCACGUCUGCUGUGAUAGCCGCAUCGCUCAUCCUCUACAAAGAGUUUGGCAACAUGAAGGUGAAGGCAAUUGUGGGAAAUAUGUGCGGCUUCUUGACGAUUAUAUCAGGAAUAUUCCUACUUAAUGCCUUCAAGGACCAGAAUAUUAGUAUAUCAACACUAGCCAGUGCGCGGAAAGAGGCAGUGUCCAGUUCUAAUGGAGAACUCAGGAGUGUGACCACUUACGAUAAUUUUAAUGGUGAUCAAGAGAGUCUGCUGACGGGUGGUCAGAAUGAUGAACAGCUGCUGUCAGAAUAUCACCAUCAAUGAUGUGGAUCUCUUACUGAAAGUACAUUAGGAAGAGUGUGAUGAACGUGGGGGGGGGGAAGACAAUUACAGGAGUAUGGUCUGACAAAUGCCAGUAUUCCUCAAACAAUAUUCCAGGUGAAGACGUCUAAAUAAUCACAUAGAGCAACUAAGUUACUCUUUUGUAUUUGACUAAGACUAUAUUUUGUGUAUAGAUACAUAGACAUUAUUUUUGCUUGGAGAAUAUUUACUAUUGGAAUCACAUGUCACUGCGAUACAUACUUUGAAGGAUGUUCCUCAUGGUCUUUGUGUAGUGGUCACUGGUAGGGUGUUCGGUCACUGGUAGGGUGUUCGGUCACUGGUAGGGUGUCCAGACAGGGUUUUUUAUAAUUGUGUUCGGUCACUGGCUGGGUGUCCAGACAGUGGUCUAUGAAUGGUGUUCGGUCACUGGUACAGUGUCCAGACAAUGGUCUUUGAAUGGUGUUCGGUCACUGGUAAGGUGUCAAGACAAUGGUCUUUGAAUGGUGUUCAGUCACUGGUAAGGUGUCGAGACCGUGGCCUUUAAUGGUGUUCAGUCACUGGUAGGGUGUCGAGACAAUGAUAGCAUACGUUAUUGAAGUGCACAUAAAGUUCAGCAAUCAAACACAUUCACAUACAUAAACACAUUUGAAUGAUAACAAACCACUGAUUAAAGUACCUUAGAUCUCAGAAAAGCUUGCCAUGUCAGUUUUGAAAACAUAAAACUGUAACCUCGUAAGAUUUUCAACGGCAUGUAAGGGGCACUGUGGUAACCUAGUGGUUAAAGCGUUCGCUCGUCACGCCGAAGACCC
rnacentral:misc_RNA from 1 species